UACGUAGGGUGCAAGCGUUAAUCGGAAUUACUGGGCGUAAAGCGUGCGCAGGCGGUUCUAUAAGACAGAUGUGAAAUCCCCGGGCUCAACCUGGGAACUGCAUUUGUGACUGUAGAGCUGGAGUGCGGCAGAGGGGGGAUGGAAUUCCGCGUGUAGCAGUGAAAUGCGUAGAUAUGCGGAGGAACACCGAUGGCGAAGGCAAUCCCCUGGGCCUGCACUG
rnacentral:rRNA from 1 species